rnacentral:tRNA from 1 species
GGGCUGUUAGCUCAGUUGGUAGAGCAGUUGGCUUUUAACCAAUUGGUCGAAGGUUCGAAUCCUUCACAGCCCA